UUGUAAGAGUUCACAUGUGGCAGCCAUGGCUUCGCGCUCAAGCUUUAUUCGCGAGUCCGCGUUCAUUUUUAUACGCGUGCUUUCAUCUUUACUUUCGGUCGUCUUUGCGAGUUUUGCUUUCGUUCCAGGAGUACCGACGUAUACGUACCAAUGCGCCCCGUGCCACUUGAGUGCUUCUUGACUCUGUGCCGAACGUGCUGCCUGCAUUGCGUCGACUUAACAACCAUGGCGUCUGGUGCAUGAAACUGGCAAUCUCGCCCGUCCGUUGCAUACAUCGCCCAGUCUUCGCUUUCUGAACCUCCUCGGUCGAACGUCCUUCCUAAGAGCGUUGGAUCUCUCUGUUUGGCGGCCUGCAGCGACUUGGUCAAGUGCGUUUCUUUUUCUGGUGAUUGCUUUCGUAGUCCGUGUUUGCAUAUCGCCAAGCAUUGGUGAGCCAUCAUGUAAUGAAAUUUUGUGCAG